UAUAUUGUCGCUAGCUUUACUUCCUGUUUUAUUUUGUAGUGAUUAGUUUCAUGUGUUUUUGUCUAGCUUUGUUUCCUGUCUGAUUGAUUGCUUAUGUGUCUCACCUGUGUUAAUUGUCCUGCCUUCUUGUGUGUGUGUGAAUAUAUUGCCCUCAUUUCUGUUCAGUCCUUGUGGUGUCAUCAUCUUAUGUUGGGUGUUCUGCUGCAUGCUCUGUUUACCAGGAUUUUUUUGGAUUAUUCCCUUGUGUUGGAUUCCCUUGCCUUUUUGUUGGAUUUAACCUGUGUUUGGACUUUGUACUCUGCCUUGUUGGAAUUAUCCUUUUGUUUGGACUCUUGCCUUGAGAUAAGUAGUAAGCCUGUUUUGUUUGGUCAAAAUAAAUCUUCAUUUGAAAUGCAACCUCUUGGCCCGUGUCUGCAUUUUGGAUCCACACUCCUGUUUCCCUGUCACUCAGCCUACGUGAUACACAUAUUGAGCUCUGCAUGGUCAGGUGCCUGGGUACAGCUCCACCCUCAUAUGACCACUAGUGACUGAGGAGUUUGUUUACUCCUUGCUCAGGAGGAGCACCAUCAGGAAGGAGCCCAGGUGUUAUAAACUUGUGUUCAUCGCAGCCUUCAAACUGUCCCUGACCACACGCAAAGACUCGGUGUGCAACAAGACAUCUCUGUUUGGUCCUAUCUUCCAGAAGCACAAGAUCACCUGCUUCACAACAGCGGAACCGCUCAGUUGAUGGUGCUGUGAACAUGGGCCACAACAUCAUGAACAUGACAUCCCUGGCUGCUACAUUUAGGGAAUUUCGACGCAGUCAUGUGACACAGCGAGUUCCCACAGUACCUCGGCUUCACUCCAAUACACAAAUGACUGCAGCUCCAGUAAUUCCCUACAGGGCUCUCCCACUGCGAAUCACUUGAUCAGUUGCUUUGUUAUGAGCUGAUUCUUGUUGUGAGCAGUGUAAAUGUCUCUGUCUACAGUGUGUAAUAUUGUGGCCUGCAGCAACAGACGUUUGAACGUGCAAAUCUGGAAAUUUCACAUUUCUAUCAUAACAUUUUAGCCUAUUUUAACAAGUCAAUAAAGGUGCCACUAACUGAAAAUGGGUUGUUCAUUCGUCUUUAAAAUACAAGUUGGGAUUUCUGAAAAGGUACAAGCAACUUCUCAUCCAUUUCACACUUCCAAAGGAUGAAACUGCUAUUCUUAAAUAAAUAUGAAAACAUGUAAUCAUACUGAUUGUAAUUUUAAUCUGUGGUUAGUUUUUUAACAUUUCCACUCGUCCACUCAUCAGCCAUGAUUUUGUGUUUUUUCUACUCUGUGGAAAACAGCCCAGCCUGCUGUGUGAACGCAGGCUUAUUCAGACGGCUGAAGUGUUCUGAUUACGCCACAACAAGAGCACAUAAUUAAAGAAAAUGGCUCAAUCCACCAAGUUUAUAGCGAUUUAUAGCUUAAAAUACUGCAGCUGUGAAAAUAUUAUUUGGAAUAAACUGACCAAUUAAUUUGCACUUU